GGGGAAUCUUGCCCAAUGGGCGCAAGCCUGAGGCAGCAACGCCGCGUGCGGGAAGAAGGCCCUCGGGUUGUAAACCGCUUUCAGCAGGAACGAAAAUGACGGUACCUGCAGAAGAAGGUGCGGCCAACUACGUGCCAGCAGCCGCGGUGACACGUAGGCACCAAGCGUUGUCCGGAUUUAUUGGGCGUAAAGAGCUCGUAGGCGGUUCGGUAAGUCGGGUGUGAAAACUUUGGGCUCAACCCAAAGCCUGCACUCGAUACUGCUGUGACUUGAGUCCGGUAGGGGAGUGGGGAAUUCCUGGUGUAGCGGUGGAAUGCGCAGAUAUCAGGAGGAACACCGGUGGCGAAGGCGCCACUCUGGGCCGGUACUGACGCUGAGGAGCGAAAGCGUGGGGAGCGAAC
rnacentral:rRNA from 1 species